AGAAUUUUAGUAUGGACCCCCGAAACUAGGUGAGCUACUUCGAAACAGUUUAAAGAACGAACCCGUCUCUGUUGCAAUAGAGUGGGGCGAUUUCCAAGUAGAGGCGAUAAACCAACCGCACCUAGAGAUAGCUGGUUACUCAAGAAAAGAAUGUUAGUUCAACCCUAAGUUUUUAAAUUACACAAAAAAAUACGUAAAACUUAAGAGUUAUUCAAAUAAGGCACAGCUUAUUUGAAAAAGGAUACAACCUCAAACACAGGGUAAUACACAAGAAUGGAUGACAAGUGGGCCUAAGAGCAGCCAUCUUCCAAAAAGCGUUAAAGCUUAACACCCCCUCUACUUAAAUAUCUUAAUGCAUCUAUAACCCGCCACUAAUAUUGAGUAAUCCCAUAAGCUUAUGGGAGAUAUAAUGCUUGAACUAGUAACAAGAAACAAACUUUCUCCAUAAUGUAAGCUUAAGCCAUAAUAGAUGACCUACUGGCAAUUAACUUAAAUGAAAGUAUUAUAGUAACUUUAACAAGAAACUCUACAGCUUCUAACGUUACCCUUACACUAGAACAUUAAUGGAAAGAUUAAAAGGAAAAGAAGGAACUCGGCAAAAUUUAACCCCGCCUGUUUAC
rnacentral:rRNA from 1 species